AAGUCGUAACAAGGUUUCCGUAGGUGAACCUGCGGAAGGAUCAUUAACACAUCCUUUUCAAAUUCUCAAACGGCGAAUAACAGAGCCGUACCGGCAGAGGCCUAGGACGUUCUGCAUAGGAUCCCUUUCGUGAAAGGGAUCGGACUCCUAGGAUGUUUGUCCACCCGGGCAGUGCAAGCAAUUGCAUUGUUCGCUGUGUGAGGGGAUGCUCUGACCGGCCCGGUGCCCACAGCUCCUGUGCAUGCUGGCCUUUUUUUUUUAACCUUUCACUUGAUAGCACUUAGAAUGCUUGCCGGUGGCUUCCACUGAGGAUUUGAGCUCUUCGUGAGUUCGUCCGAUGCGGCGGUUCCGACCGGUCCAGCGACCCUUGAGCGAGUCCUUGUGGCUCUGUUCAUUGGAAUCUAAACACAACUCUUAACAGCGGAUAUCUCGGUUCUC
rnacentral:misc_RNA from 1 species